rnacentral:rRNA from 1 species
GACGAACGCUGGCGGCGUGCUUAACACAUGCAAGUCGAACGGACAGACAGAGAGCUUGCUCUCUUGAAGUUAGUGGCGCACGGGUGAGUAACGCGUAAUCAACCUGCCCUUCAGAGGGGGAUAACAACGGGAAACCGUUGCUAAUAGCGCGUACGAUUCAUGAACGGCAUCGUUUAUGAAUGGAAAGUGGCCUUUAUGUACAAGUUAUCGCUGAGGGAGGGGAUUGCGUCCGAUUAGCUAGGUGGAGGGGUAACGGCACACCAAGGCAAUGAUAAGUAGCCAGUCUGAGAGGGUGAACGGCCACAUUGGGACUGAGACACGGCCCAAACUCCUACGGGAGGCAGCAGUGGGGAAUCUUCCGCAAUGGACGAAAGUCUGACGGAGCAACGCCGCGUGAGUGAUGAAGGUCUUCGGAUUGUAAAGCUCUGUUAAUCGGGACGAAAGAGUUCUGCGUGAAUAAUGCAGAAAAGUGACGGUACCGGAAUAGAAAGCCACGGCUAACUACGUGCCAGCCGCCGCCGUAA